GACAGCAGCAGCCGCGGUAAUACGUAGGUGGCAAGCGUUGUCCGGAAUUGUUGGGCGUAAAGGGCUCGCAGGCGGUUUCUUAAGUCUGAUGUGAAAGCCCCCGGCUCAACCGGGGAGGGUCAUUGGAAACUGGGAAACUUGAGUGCAGAAGAGGAGAGUGGAAUUCCACGUGUAGCGGUGAAAUGCGUAGAGAUGUGGAGGAACACCAGUGGCGAAGGCGACUCUCUGGUCUGUAACUGACGCUGAGGAGCGAAAGCGUGGGGAGCGAACAGGAUUAGAUACCCCUGUAGUCCCUGUCUCUUAUAC
rnacentral:rRNA from 1 species